UGCCAGCAGCCGCGGUAAUACGAAGGGUGCUAGCGUUGUUCGGAAUUACUGGGCGUAAAGAGCAUGUAGGCGGAUUUGUAAGUUAGGGGUGAAAUCCCGGGGCUCAACCCCGGAACUGCCUUUGAUACUGCAAGUCUAGAGUCCGAGAGAGGUGAGUGGAAUUCCUAGUGUAGAGGUGAAAUUCGUAGAUAUUAGGAGGAACACCAGUGGCGAAGGCGGCUCACUGGCUCGAUACUGACGCUGAGGUGCGAAAGCGUGGGGAGCAAACAGGAUUAGAUA
rnacentral:rRNA from 1 species